UACGUAGGGUGCGAGCGUUAAUCGGAAUUACUGGGCGUAAAGCGUGCGCAGGCGGUUUGUUGUGUCGGCGGUGAAAGCCCCGGGCUCAACCUGGGAAUGGCCGUUGAAACUGGCGAACUGGAGUGUGGCAGAGGGGGGUGGAAUUCCGCGUGUAGCAGUGAAAUGCGUAGAGAUGCGGAGGAACACCGAUGGCGAAGGCAGCCCCCUGGGCUGACACUGACGCUCAGGCGCGAAAGCGUGGGGAGCAAACAGG
rnacentral:rRNA from 1 species